rnacentral:rRNA from 1 species
UACGGGGGGGGCAAGCGUUGUUCGGAAUUACUGGGCGUAAAGGGCGCGUAGGCGGGUUCUCCAGUCAGGGGUGAAAUCUUUCGGCUUAACCGGAAAAGUGCCCCUGAUACUGAGAGUCUCGAGGGAGGUAGGGGCAUGUGGAACUUCCGGUGGAGCGGUGAAAUGCGUAGAUAUCGGAAGGAACGCCGGUGGCGAAAGCGACGUGCUGGACCUCUUCUGACGCUGAGGCGCGAAAGCCAGGGGAGCAAACGGG